CUGACUUGAGAAGGAACUAGAGUCCCAGACACAAGCUUGACAUUCACCUUCCAGCACCAUGACUGAGGCUGCCGAGUCAGGUGUGGAAGAGUGCAAAAGGGCUGUCUGUGUGCUGGAGAUCUGAAGGAUCCAGUCAAAGUUCAAAGGCCUGGAGCUCUCUGUAGCGUCCUGUGUGAGUCCAUAUCAGAGGCUGAAGGGUCUGUGCUGGAAGCUAGGAAUAGUGGCAGAAGCAAGUGAGAAGAGGACCGUGCAGUGUGAGGAAGAAAUCCAUCCGUCUUCAGAUCCUGGCAUGUUAGGAUUGCCACCACACCCUACAUAACCCAGGGCAUCCUGAUGGGUGUUUGCCAAUGCCCUACCAGUUCUUCAAUAUUGUGCCCAUCUCCUCACCGUCAUGGUUGUAUCCUUGCAGCCCACACAGGACAACCAGAGUUGAUUUUUGGAAGGAACGGGGCUGGACUCUGUUAUUGGAAACUCUUCUUCUCAGAAUUAUACAAUACAGCAUUCCCAAACCUUAUUUUUAACAGAUGUCCUUCAUCAUCAGCAUAAUGAAACAGAUGCUUUCUACCAGUGUUCUGGUAAAAUAGUAAAAUGUGUAUUUAUAAACAG
rnacentral:lncRNA from 1 species